UUUGUCCCCAAGUCAGAAUUUGAGCAUCUCCUCUCUGCCGACGCCGCGAUGCAAGAACCAUCGGAGAGGAGACAAAGUGGGGUGAUUCAGUCGAGUUCGAUGGGGGUGGUGUGAAAGGCCUUUAUUUGGGUAGAAAUUCAACGACUUAGUAUUGAAUCUGGAGUGAGGAUGUCUGUGUUGCAGAGCCUUUGAUGGGAGAAAAAAUUCAACGCCUUGGACUGAAUCUUGGUGAUUUUUUUUUUCCCCUCUUUUAAUAAUUUUUAAUAUUUUAAUAUUUUCUCUUAAUUUCAUCACAGCAUCAGACCCACUGUGAUCCUUUCUCCAUCAAACCCAUGUAAUUUUCGUUUUAUGGAGGAUUUGUUUUCUUCCAUGUAUGAGGUUAUGGAUUUGUGCUUCAAAAUAAGGUAUGAAAUUUUGAACAAUCAGGUUGUUGAUUUUCUUUAAAGUCUUGGAUUCUUGAAUUUUC
rnacentral:lncRNA from 1 species